GACCACAGAAAAAGUAGCCAGCCCACCAUCCCUAGAUGAUUUUGCAGUCUUUGCACACCAGUGUGGCCAUAGGCUUGUUUUCUCCUGGACUGAGCCUGCAGAUCCUAUGAGCAAGCAUAUGUCCUGUGCUCCACUAGUCCUAGCUGGAUCGUGGACAUAUUACCAUCAUUACAAAUAUCAAUAGUUUGUGAUUACUUCAAACAAUCUGAAGUUGAAGGACCCCAGAUAUCCUUCAAAACAGGAAUCUGCAGGCAGAUGCUGAAACCAUGAAUACAGAGGGACAACUAUGUAAGCUCGUUAACGCUGACAUAGUUUUAUGAAUGCAAACAGCCAAGGAGAGCAGAUGUUGAGUGGUUGCCAGAGUGAAAUGAGGAAGCCCUGCUGCCAGCUUCCCACCAAAAAGCAGGCUCCGGCCCUGAACGCAGGAGAGUUGCUAAAGAAGUUGCUCACAGAGGCGGGAGAGAGCAGGCUACUGGUUUCCUUCAAAAUGGAAUAGGAAACAGAAAACGUGGUGAACAUCAUUUCUUCGCACUUGAAUCAGCAACAUGACACAGGACUUUGGCAUCAGCAACAGAAAGAACACCUCAAUCCCAGCAUUCUAAGCAAGAAUUGCAAGGCUCAGACACGUCAAUGCCCACUGCUAUAACUGACAAGGAAGUGGAAUGUCGUGUUUGGCUUCAACCAACGAGGGCUGGUUGGAGCUUUGAACUACUAUCACACCAAAAAAAGAGGCUUCACUUGGAGUGCUGCCACUGGAUGGGGCCUGACUUGUUUAUCCGGAAAGAAGUGACUUCCCUGGGAAGAAGGUUGCAUUUGUGAAAGCUUGUGCAGCAUUUCAAGGCUGCAUUCAGGGGCUCUGACCUCCAGUGUCAGCCUUCCAAGGAGAGAAUGGUAGUGUAAUCAUGACUGGAGAGCAACUGUUCCAGAUAAGAAUAUUUUGGCAGAUUUUAAAAGCAACUAUUACUGGUGUUGAUUGACUUAAAAAUAUUUUAAAAAUAUAACAUGUUAUAAACCUCUUCAAUAUCAAGAGGCAGGAUAUAA
ensembl:lncRNA LINC01491 long intergenic non-protein coding RNA 1491